AUUUUGAUGGUUGAUGGUGAUUAUAUGCCUAAUAUAAGUUGUAUUGAAUUGUUGUGGCCUCACAUGUUUUCCUGUUUUUAUUGUUGUUUAUUUUUUCAUUGUCAGGUUGUGUGAAGGCGGGGAAUUGUUAGAUAGAAUCUUAUCCAGAGGUGGAAGGUAUAUGGAGGAAGAUGCAAAGGGAAUUGUUUCGCAGAUUUUGAGUGUAGUUGCCUUUUGUCAUCUACAAGGUGUUGUGCAUCGUGAUCUAAAACCGGAGAACUUUCUCUUCACUACUAGGGAUGAAAAUGCACCCAUGAAGAUUAUUGAUUUUGGCCUUUCAGAUUUUAUCCGACCAGGUACUAAGUUCUAUACAGAAAU